UAACUUGUUGGAAAUUAGAGCAGGGGCUAUCCACAAACUCACGAUUGAAAUUUCAGGUCAACAGACCUGAGGAUACUACUGACACAAAACUGAAAUCAGGUGAAAUCACAAAUGUAUCAAUACCGUCUGGUUGGUGACUGAAUUGAUUUAUGAUAAUUGAGAUGUAAUGAGGAGGGAGUUACACAUUUACACAGAAUCAUCAAAGUCCAGUGGUAAGAUAAACAUCAAGAAGACUGGCUUUGACCCAGGAUGCAGUGGAUGACCUCAGCAUCUUCAAUGUCUGGCCAAGCUCAAAGUGAUCUACAAAGGCUGCUUCAGCUUCCUUCAUGGUCUUUCAUCAAUUUUCUCACCACCUUUGAGGAUAAGAUUUUCGAGCUAUUGAUUUGUACCUGGAGUUUGGUGCAGCCAGCACAAAGUUGUUUGCAUAUUGGAGCUUCUGAAGGACCUAAACAUCUAUAAAGAAUCUCUCUUCAACUUAGACCCCAUGCUGGCUCUCCUUUUUGACAAAGGGAAUGGACAACUCGGCAAGAUGGAGUGAUCAGAAAGGCAUAAAACAAGAUUAUUGCUAUUAUUUCUUUUAGAGUACCUAAC
rnacentral:lncRNA from 1 species